rnacentral:rRNA from 1 species
GACGAACGCUGGCGGCGUGCUUAACACAUGCAAGUCGAACGGAAAGGCCCUGCUUUUGUGGGGUGCUCGAGUGGCGAACGGGUGAGUAACACGUGAGUAACCUGCCCUUGACUUUGGGAUAACUUCAGGAAACUGGGGCUAAUACCGGAUAGGAGCUCCUGCUGCAUGGUGGGGGUUGGAAAGUUUCGGCGGUUGGGGAUGGACUCGCGGCUUAUCAGCUUGUUGGUGGGGUAGUGGCUUACCAAGGCUUUGACGGGUAGCCGGCCUGAGAGGGUGACCGGCAACAUGGGGACUGAGAUACGGCCCAGACGCCUACGGGGGGAAGCGGUGGGAAAUAUGGCACAAGGGGCGGAAGCCUGAUGCAGAAACGCCGGGUGCGGGAUGACGGCCUUCGGGUGGUAAACCGCUUUCGCAUGUGACGAAGCGGGAGUGACGGUAAUGGGUAAAGAAGCACCGGCUAACUACGU